CCAUGACGACUGGGGCCAGCUUCGUUUGGGACCCGGCCAUCAGAGGCAGCCUAGGGUGCUCAUUCUCGUCGCCUUCCGUCUCCUACCGCUGGAGACGGUGAAAACCUAGAUCGGCGUGGAGCCAUGGACGAGCCCCAAUCCUCCCCGCCCCUCUCCUCCCCAAUGGCGAUCUCCUUCUCCCCCAUCAGAUCUCACCUCUGCUCCAGCCCCGCGUGAGGCCGGUGCGCAACAGAGCACGGUUUGGUGGUGGACGAGUCAAGCGCGAGCGGCGCGGGCCUUGGUGUGGGCGUGCGUGUGCAGGGCGUGGCGGCGGGGUCGAGGCGGCGGCGGUGCUGUCCUCGGUGGAAGCGGAGGAGGAGGCGCUCCUGGCCGAGGUCUAGCGGGAGGCCAGGCGGCACGGAAGCGGGCGGGCUCCCUGGGAGCUCCUCGCCGUGCUGCGGGAGGCCAGGCGCGCCGCGGUGCGGCUGCGAGCUGCAGUAGCGCAAGGUGACCGCGCGGUGGAGCUGAUGGCGGGCUCUCCGCGAAGCCUAUUCCUUGUCGCGCGGCGGCGGCGAUGGAGGCUUCCCAGGUCGGCCGGCCUCCUUCCCCAGCUCCAGCACAGGCAUCGGUUGGACGAGGGAUUCAGCGGCAGCACGGAGCGCGGCCGGAGCACCGGCAGCGGCUGGACGCGGCAGCGGUGGUGGUAGGCACUACUGCGUUGGGGACGGGCCAUGCAGCAACACACUUUGGAACACACUCUGGGAUGCACGGUCGCCCGUUCCUGUGACGCCAUGCAGCUGCUGGCCAAGCAAGGCACUUUGUGCGGUGACGGACUGCUCCUGGAAGAAAAUGAGGACAAUAGCUUCAAUGCCACAUUAAUAAGCUACAACAAACACAACAGAUUGAUUGCGAGGAGUUGGUGCUCCUUCAUCUCCUCCCUCAGCCAGGAGAUGUCAGCGAGAUUUCUUGUGCCAAUGAUGCACAGUGAGGAGGUGGUGCGGCCUUGUGGCGUGUUUGCAACGGUGGAUCCGGUGGCCUGCCAGCAGCCUCGCCAUCUCUGGCUUGUUACUAGCAGGCUCCUUGUAAUUACUAUCAAGAAUCAUGCCAAUUUGCCUACUGCAGCUAAAAUUGCUGCUUGGAGCAUGGUUGAGUCAGCUCCCUUGCUGCAGCCUACGGCUCUCCCCUUGCCCCCUUGUCGAAGCCAUCGGAGAGGACAAGGCCGCCAACCCAUGAUGAUACACUCACAGCUACCCAGGCCUCGCUGGUCCUCCCUUGCAUGCCCUCAUAUGCCAGGGGUUAUGGCAAUCAGGACAUGGUGGGAGCAGUUGGUGGUAAGGCAGAGUCAGGCGUACUGCCAGCAGUGGCACUACUCAAGAUCAAUGCCAUGAGGAGUAUCACUCAAGUCCCAGGAUUUGAUGACAUUGUUUCUGGCUAUUAGGUUGUACAAUAUCUUUGUUAUGGAUUGUGACCCCCACACAAUACUGGAUUCAGAGAAGGCGGAGAUCCGUGGAUGCCAGUGAGGGAGGCAGCUUGGCUCGGACUGGCCAUGGCGCUGGCGUUGAUGACUCCCUGCUAUCCUCCUUUGUCUCCCAUCCACAGCUUGGCUCGGACUUGGUGGAACAUGUAUAGAAGAGGCUUUCAUCAUUUGUCAACUGGGUCGCACUUUCCUUGUCAUCUCUUAGUAAUAGAUUUUCUGUAAUACUAAAAUCAGAACCUUAGCCUCUGCAAACAGUGCAUGCAGAUUUACAAUAGUAAGGCAUCUUAUCGUGGACAUAUUUUUGACUUGGCUGAUUAGGAAGUCUCGAGCGGCUGGUGGUGGUGUACAAUGGUGCCCAGCGGCGCGCACAACGGGUGUACGAUAUGUGGCAUCGGCGCCACCUG